AUGGAGCGGCGAGGAGGAGCGGCGGCGCCGUCGCUGGAGCUGCCGGGGUUCCGCUUCCACCCCACGGAGGAGGAGCUGCUGGAGUUCUACCUCAAGCACCACGUCACCAGCAGCAGCAAGAAUCAUCAGGUCAGGGCGCCGUUCGACAUCAUCCCCACGGUGCACCUGUACCGGCACGACCCCUGGGACCUCCCGGGGCUGGCCGCCAUCGCCAGCGAGCGGGAGUGGUACUUCUUCGUGCCCCGCGACGGCGCCCGGAAGCACGCGGCCGGCGGGCGCCCGAGCCGCACCACGGAGCGCGGGUUCUGGAAGGCCACGGGGUCCGACCGCGCCGUGCGCUGCGCCGCCGACCCCAAGCGCCUCGUCGGGCUCAAGAAGACGCUCGUCUACUACCAGGGCCGCGCGCCGCGGGGCACCAAGACCGACUGGGUCAUGAACGAGUACCGGCUGCCCGACCUUGCCGGCGCCGGCGCCGGCGAGCAGCAGGACGUGGUGCUCUGCAAGGUGUACCGCAAGGCCGUCUCGCUCAAGGAGCUGGAGCAGCGGGUGGCCAUGGAGGAGCUCGCGCGCGCGCGCUCCUCCCCGCCCACCGCCACGGCGUCCCGCUCCCUCUCCCACUGCAGCGCCGGCUCGCCCGACGUCUCGUCCGCCGCGUCGGAGCUCGAGGUCGCCCACCACGAGGCCGCCGUGCAGCACCACGGGGUGAAGAAGGAGGAGGCCGUGGCGGUGGCGAGGCCGGAGGCGAUGCGGCUGCCGCAGCUGGAGACGGCGAGGGGCGGCGGGGGCGGCGGGCUGGAGUGGAUGCAGGACCCCUUCCUGACGCAGCUGAGGAGCCCCUGGAUGGAGGGCCUCUGCUUGUCUCCCUACUACGGCGCCAGCGUCCUCAACUUCUAG
rnacentral:rRNA from 1 species